rnacentral:rRNA from 1 species
UACGAAGGGUGCAAGCGUUACUCGGAAUUACUGGGCGUAAAGGGCUCGUAGGCGGCCAACUAAGUCAGACGUGAAAUCCCUCGGCUUAACCGGGGAACUGCGUCUGAUACUGGAUGGCUUGAGAUUGGGAGAGGGAUGCGGAAUUCCAGGUGUAGCGGUGAAAUGCGUAGAUAUCUGGAGGAACACCGGUGGCGAAGGCGGCAUCCUGGACCAACACUGACGCUGAGGAGCGAAAGCCAGGGGAGCAAACGGG